UGGUCAAGUUAUUAAGGGUGCAGGGCGGAUGCCUUGGCACUAGGAGCCGAUGAAGGACGUGAUAAGCUGCGAUAAGCUUCGGGGAGUUGCACGUAAACUUUGAUCCGAAGAUUUCCGAAUGAGGAAACUCACUUAGAGUAAUGUCUAAGUAUCAUUAAGUGAAUACAUAGCUUAAUGAGGGGAACUCAGGGAACUGAAACAUCUAAGUACCUGAAGGAAGAGAAAGAAAUUCGAUUCCGUAAGUAGCGGCGAGCGAACGCGGAUUAGCCCAAACCAAUAAAGUUUUCUUUAUUGGGGUUGCGGACAUAUCAUAACGAAGAGGUAUCGUAAUUGAAGAGGUUUGGAAAGACCCACCACAGAAGGUAAUAGUCCUGUAUGUUAAACGAGAAGACUUCAGAUAUGAUCCAGAGUACCACGGGACACGUGAAACCCUGUGGGAAGCAGGAGGGACCACCCUCCAAGGCUAAAUACUACCUAGUGACCGAUAGCGUAUAGUACCGUGAGGGAAAGGUGAAAAGAACCCCGGGAGGGGAGUGAAAUAGAACCUGAAACCCUGCACUUACAAGCUGUGGAAGCACAUUUCUUGUGUGACCGCGUACUUUUUGUAGAACGGGCCAACGAGUUACGUUAAGUAGCAAGGUUAAGCACUUAAGGUGCGGAGCCGUAGCGAAAGCGAGUUUUAACUGAGCGUUCAGUUACUUGACGUAGACCCGAAACCGGGCGACCUACCCAUGAGCAGGAUGAAGCGAAAGUAAAAUUUCGUGGAGGUCCGAACCCACGAGCGUUGAAAAGCUCGGGGAUGACUUGUGGGUAGCGGUGAAAUUCCAAUCGAGCCCGGAGAUAGCUGGUUCUCCCCGAAAUAGCUUUAGGGCUAGCCUCAAGGUGAGAGAUACGGAGGUAGAGCACUGAAUGUCCUAGGGGGUAUUGCACCUACCGAAGACUAUCAAACUCCGAAUGCCGUCAUCUUAUACUUGGGAGUCAGACUGUGGGUGAUAAGAUUCAUAGUCGAAAGGGCAACAGCCCAGAUCGUCAGCUAAGGUCCCUAAAUGUAAGUUAAGUGGUAAAGGAUGUGGGAUUGCACAGACAACCAGGAUGUUGGCUUAGAAGCAGCCACUCAUUCAAAGAGUGCGUAAUAGCUCACUGGUCGAGUGAUCCUGCGCCGAAGAUUUCCGGGGCUAAAACUUACUACCGAAGCUACGGCAUCAGUAAUGAUGGGUAGGGGAGCUUCCCAUACGGGUUGAAGCAUGACCGUAAGGACAUGUGGACAGUAUGGGAGUGAGAAUGUUGGCAUGAGUAGCGAGAUGUGGGUGAGAAUCCCACAGGCCGUAAACCCAAGGUUUCCAGGGGAAGGUUCGUCCGCCCUGGGUUAGUCGGGACCUAAGCUGAGGCCGAAAGGCGUAGGUGAUGGACAACAGGUUGAUAUUCCUGUACUACCGAUAACCGUUUGAGAGAAGGGAUGACACAGUAGGAUAAGCUAAGCACACUGUUGGUUAUGUGUGCCCAAGCAUUGAGGCAGUCAAAGUAGGCAAAUCCGCUUUGAUAAUGCUGGGAUGUGAUGGGGAGCGAAAUUUAGUAGCGAAGUAGCUGAUUUCACACUGUCAAGAAAAGUCUCUAUCGAGGUUAAAGGUACCCGUACCGCAAACCGACACAGGUGGGUGAGGAGAGUAUCCUAAGGCCAGCGAGAGAACUGUUGUUAAGGAACUCGGCAAAAUGACCCCGUAACUUAGGGAUAAGGGGUGCCACCAUCAGGUGGCCGCAGAGAAUAGGCCCAAGCGACUGUUUACCAAAAACAUAGGUUUCUGCUAAGUCGCAAGACGAUGUAUAGGAGCUGACGCCUGCCCGGUGCUGGAAGGUUAAGGGGAUCUGUUAGAGCAAUCGAAGCAGUGAACUUAAGCCCCAGUAAACGGCGGCCGUAACUAUAACGGUCCUAAGGUAGCGAAAUUCCUUGUCGGGUAAGUUCCGACCCGCACGAAAGGCGUAACGAUUUGGGCACUGUCUCAACAACAGACUCGGUGAAAUUGUAAUUCCGGUGAAGAUGCCGGAUACCUGCGACAGGACGGAAAGACCCCAUGGAGCUUUACUGUAGCUUGACAUUGGGUCUUGGUACUACAUGUACAGGAUAGGUGGGAGGCUUUGAAACCAGGACGCCAGUUUUGGCGGAGCCAUCCUUGGGAUACCACCCUUGUAGUACUGGGACUCUAACCAUAGGCCAUGAAUCUGGUCUUGGGACACUGUCAGG
rnacentral:rRNA from 1 species